rnacentral:siRNA from 1 species
ACAGAGACAGAGCCACAGUGG